UUUUCGGAGACGAGGGUGGACGCUGAUCCCGGACAAGCCCCCAAAUGAAAGACCCCCAGAGCAGGGAGACCCUCACUCAAGUCUCGGGAUGAUGCGACCCCCCAAGAACUCAUGUGAGACC
rnacentral:pre_miRNA from 14 species